rnacentral:tRNA from 1 species
UUCCCAACCCAGGGAUCAAACCCAGGUCUCCUGCAUUGCAGGCAGAUUCUUUACCAGCUGAGCCACAAGGGA